GUACCUGUAGCUCAAUUGGAUAGAGCAUUGGUUUGCGGAACCAAAGGUUGUUGGUUCGAUCCCGACCAGGUACG
rnacentral:tRNA from 1 species